GGAGGGAUCGCAUAGCUGGCCUAGUGCGCGGCACUCGAAAUGCCGUGAGCCUCCGGGCUCCGUGGGUUCGAAUCCCACUCCCUCCG
rnacentral:tRNA from 1 species